rnacentral:rRNA from 1 species
CAACGCUGGCGGCGUGCCUAACACAUGCAAGUCGAACGCGGUUACCCCGCAAGGGGUAACUGAGUGGCGAACGGGUGAGUAACACGUGGGUGACCUACCUUCGAGUGGGGGAUAACGUCCCGAAAGGGACGCUAAUACCGCAUAACAUCCUGCCUUUGAACAGGUGGUGAUCAAAGCCGGGGACCGCAAGGCCCGGCGCUUGGUGAGGGGCCCGCGUCCGAUUAGCUAGUUGGUGAGGUAACGGCCCACCAAGGCGACGAUCGGUAACCGGCCUGAGAGGGCGGCGGUCACACUGGGACUGAGACACGGCCCAACUCCUACGGG